UCGUGAGAUGUUGGGUUAAGUCCCGCAACGAGCGCAACCCUUGAUUUUAGUUGCCAGCAUUCAGUUGGGCACUCUAAGGUGACUGCCGGUGACAAAACCGGAGGAAGGUGGGGAUGACGUCAAAUCAUCAUGCCCCUUAUGACCUGGGCUACACACGUGCUACAAUGGAUGGUACAAAGGGCUGCAAACCUGCGAAGGUAAGCGAAUCCCAUAAAGCCAUUCUCAGUUCGGAUUGCAGGCUGCAACUCGCCUGCAUGAAGCCGGAAUCGCUAGUAAUCGCGGAUCAGCAUGCCGCGGUGAAUACGUUCCCGGGCCUUGUACACACCGCCCGUCACACCACGAGAGUUUGUAACACCCGAAGUCGGUGAGGUAACCUUCAUGGAGCCAGCCGUCCUA
rnacentral:rRNA from 2 species